UGGCAGGGGAGUUGGACUGGAUGGUCUCUAGAAGGUCCCUUCCAACUCUGACAAUUCCAUGAUUCCUUCCCCCCGGCCCCCAACAGGCAGCCGGGGUGUUAAGGAAAGGCGGUGGGUGUCGGGAGAGUCAUCGUCACAACAUGUGGUGGAGCUUUGGGAUCCUUGGAGAUCCCAGGAUUGCGUCCUGUGGCAUCAAAUAAAUAAUUGAACACCUGGAUUCAGAAGAAAUUGAGCGGGAUGCAGGUAGAAGAAACUCUGUAGGGUGUAUUAAAACUUGUGAAUCCACAGCUACCAUUCUCGGGCAUCCUGUCUCUCCGAGGUACACAGGUAAAUAUCCUGAGGAGCCCUUCCUGCAUCAGAGCUUUCUCUGGUUGCUGUGCUCAGCUGUGGACUGAAAGGAGACAGAGUAUCUGUUCCUAAUAAAGGAAAUUCAGUCCCCAACUGCCGGCUUGGCUGCAGCAAUAGGGGCACACGUUCGGUAGGGAGACUCCCCCCGUGAAGGAGAGUGGAACAGAGCUUGGCAGAGAAAAGGCAUGAGUAAAGGGAAAGAAGAAAAGGGGAGACAUCUAGAUACAAGGCAGCAUGUGUUUGGGAGUAGCAGAGCAAAGGGAAACCCUGACAAAAGGAAACCCUGACACAGCUGGUGAUUGUGAUCAUAAAAGAAGGGGAAAAUUCAGAAAUUUUGGGAGUUUCAUUCAGUGGCAAAAUAGAGUAGGUUGCUUGGUUUUCUCCACUGCCCCAGUGUUUGUUAUUUGCAGCAUAGAUCCCUGUAUUUGCCUAAAGAAGUACAGCACUUAUGUGAGAAUGUGAUUUACUGCAGUACAGAUCUUUGCUUACAAAGAACGCAAGGUGAGCAAAGAAUUAAGCUGGACAGGUGGCUGACAAAGAAAUCACCUUUAUUAUAUUUUUUCAUCACCUCAAACUGAUAUCCAGUGCCAUCUCUUUGCUGAGUCUUUUUUUUUUUUCCUGAUCGUUUCCCGAGGCUUGCAGGUGUGUCUCCUCCAGGACGUGCUCUGAAGAGUUCAGCCAAAGAGAAGGGGGAGCUUGUCCCAGCCUCCAGAAGAACCCUGUGCCCCACACCCAGGCCAUCCUCACAACCAUCCGGGGUCUCCCAGGCAGGAAAACUCCCCCCAGAAGCUGCACACUGAAAGCUUUGACCAGCCAGUGACAAAAUCCUGCUCAUGCUUGCUCCUGCUUUCUGAUUCAAUUAAUGCUUUCAUUCCUUUGUGUGGAUUAAUUAUUUCAUCAUAGUGGAUCAGCUUCUGCAGUCGAGAUUCCUGUUCCACAUCGCUGCGUUUACAUUCAACAGAGAGGAGAGGGAUGUUUCAAAUUCCCACGAGGCAAGAGACUGGGGAAAUCAGCUCUGGAUCCUGUCUCUCUUGGUGCUCAAACCUCUGGGACCUGACAUAAAUAGGCGACGCCUCUUCCUACUCUAUUUUCUAAGUUCCUAGCAGCUGGCAGUGGGACAGCCUGACUGGAAAGUGGCACCUCUGUCCUCCAGAAAAGGACAAUGUGUUGUUUAAGAAGGGCUUAACCUUUACCUCUCUCCUUGGCACCUCCAGCAGCUGCUGAGGCAGUUUUCUGUUUGCUUUUGUGAAUCAUAUCCUGAGGUACCUUGCUAUCCCUGCCCAUUGCACAGAGAGUUUGAGCUCCUGGCUUUUCUUCAUGCGUUACGUAGGGUGAAGAAGCACCCAAAGUCAUAACGUGCAGCUCUCAGUAUCACGAUGUCUCUACCCUUCUGUGGCCCGAGCUCUCCUUCCCUAACUGGGUGGGAACUGGACUCCUAACUUCUCUGGGGACCCAUGCAAAAUUACUGUUAAGGUGCUGCUUCUGCCAGUGGCGUGGAAGAGAGGUGGAUGGAGAAUAGUUGUGCUACAGAAAUCACUGAGGCUGGCCAACACUUCUGGAGAUCAUGUAGCCCACCCCUCAGCUCAGAGUGGGAUCAGCUGGAGCAGGCUGCCCAGGACUGUAUCCAGUCAGGUUUUUGAUAUCUCCAUGGAUGGAGACUCCACAAUCUGGGCUACCUAGGCCAAUUUAACCACCCUCACAGUAAAAGCAAGGAUUUUCUUACGUUUGGGAUGUCUGCACAUCUGGAGCACUGCACAGUGCAAGCAGGAGAGGUCCUGUCCCAUGCCAGGAGUGCUUCCACUUCUUCUGUAGGAAGGUGCUGCCAGGAAGAUGUCAACAAAUGGAGAAGACUUCAGACUGGCAGUCAGAGACAAAGGCUGCUGUUAGAGACACGAGGGUAAGGGCUUGUCUGGAGAGUCCCUGCCUGUCAGUGACAUAAGGACUGAAGAAACGCCUAAACAGAGAGGAACAGUGACAAUAGCAAUUUUCUCCUUUUCUCUUCUGCCAGCACCCUUUGAGUAGCCCAGGAGAAGGUUAUUGGGACUCUUAAAUUGCUUCCACUCCAUUUGCCAAGGCAAGAACUUAAGCAGAGUCUUCCUCUGUACUUUUCUUACAUAUAUAUGGGUAUUCAUGGCAAUAACUUGUUAGGGGGGGUGUGUGUGACAGUCAAAGCUCUCUGUAGAAAAGAUGCUGCCAGCAAAAUAAAUUUGCUACCAGAACAAUGAGAAAACUUCAUUCCUCCUUUCUGCUCUCUUCAGAUUCAGGUAGGCCAGUUAUCCUGUGACCAUUUCUUCAGGCUUUCUGCUCAACUGUGAGCUCUAGAAAUUAAUUACUAUAAAGGAAAGGUAGAAUAUGGACAAAGUCACACCACUGUGAGCUAUCUUAUUCUCGUCGAGAGCUGCUCAAAGAGUGAACUGACUAUAGUUAGGAAAAUUGAGCGUGGAGAACAAAAAUGAAAAGAGGAAGCAUGCUGCCUUCAAGGGGCUUGCCAGAUGGUCCUCUGGUUCAGCCUGAAAGGUUUGCUGUGUAGGAGCUGGGUACAGAAAGUACUGCAGAGGCACAUCUGCCCAGCACAGGUGGGAAGAGGACAUUCAGAAACCUCCCUCUGUGCUUGAACCAGCAGCUCUGCCUCUGCCCCAGCCCCAUCCUACCCAUCCUUACUCACUCGGAAACCACUCUGCUAGAAAGUUACUUCUUCGUAGCCGAGAUCCUCAUAUGAUA